UAGGGAAUCUUCCACAAUGGACGCAAGUCUGAUGGAGCAACGCCGCGUGAGUGAAGAAGGCUUUCGGGUCGUAAAACUCUGUUAUUGAAGAAGAACGUGUGUGACAGUAACUGGUCAUGCAGUGACGGUAUUCAAUCAGAAAGUCACGGCUAACUACGUGCCAGCAGCCGCGGUAAUACGUAGGUGGCAAGCGUUGUCCGGAUUUAUUGGCUGGUAAA
rnacentral:rRNA from 1 species